CCUACGGGAGGCAGCAGUGGGGAAUAUUGGACAAUGGGGGAAACCCUUGUCCAGCGACGCCGCGUGAGGGAAGAAGGUUUUCGGAUUGUAAACCUCUGUCAGGGGGGACGAUAAUGACGGUACCCACGUUGGAAGCGACGGCUAAAUACGUGCCAGCAGCCGCGGUAAUACGUAGGUGGCAAGCGUUGUCCGGAGUUACUGGGUGUAAAGGGAGCGUAGGCGGGAUGUCAAGUCAGAAGUGAAAACUAUGGGCUCAACUCAGAACCUGCUUUUGAAACUGAUAUUCUUGAGUGAAGUAGAGGCCAGCGGAAUUCCUAGUGUAGCGGUGAAAUGCGUAGAUAUAAGGAGGAACACCAGUGGCGAAGGCGGAUGGCUGGGCUUUUACUGACGCUGAGGCGCGAAAGCGUGGGGAGCAAACAGGAUUAGAUACCCUAGUAGUC
rnacentral:rRNA from 1 species